UGUCCUAUUAUUUGAAGUUUGAUCCAUCACAGUAGGGAUGACAGUUAUUAAUGUUGCAUUGAAUUCAUGGAAGUGUCAGAAAAAGCAAUGCUUGGAAGCCAGUUGUUCUGUGAGUUUGUGUCUUUCCUCUCUGCCUCUGCAUGCGAUCUCACCGCCCAUGUUAAAUGGAUGUCACCCUUUCUCCUCCUUGGAUUCAACCUGCUUACCCUGGGCUAAGGGAGCCACAGAAUGGCCAGUGCGGGAACUGUGUGACUCAGUCUCGGUCCCAUCUCCUCGUCUCUGUCCUCUCAGAUCACACAUAGUCCUGUUUCAAUCACUAAUCGGGAACAGCUCUGUUAAUUCCACUAUAGAAUUCUUCUUUCUCACAGUUACUCAGUCAGUAGCGUUUACUGAGUAUCUCCUGCAUCCUGGGCACUUCUCCACUCCAAUGUGACAGCAGUGAAUCAAACGACAGCUAGCCCUGCCCGCAGGCACUUGCAUUCCAGAGAGAGGAGACAAAGAAUACAAAACUAAAAAUAUAAAAGACGAUGUGCCACACGUUGGAAAGCGAUACAUACUCUGGAGGAAGCAACCCAUACAUGACAGAUACUGCUAUUAUAACUCAGCACCAUCCAUUCAGUCAUCGUGUGGUCUUCAUCUUUUGAAGCCUCAUUUUCUCAUCUGUAGAACUUGCCAUGAAGCUUUGUUACCAUGACGUCACAUGCUAUCCAUGGGGUUUUGUUGCUGUUACAGAGGUCCCCGUGAUAUGCUGUCCUGCAUUUCUAGACAUGUCUUUGGUUUGGAAGCCUGACACCACCAAAAGAGAACUGCAGUGCAAAUGGUUUUGAAAUCCUCCACUAAUCAUCCUAGAAGCUCAGCUAGUUCC
rnacentral:lncRNA from 1 species